GACCGCUUAGCUCAGUUGGCAGAGCAUUGGGCUAGUAUUCCAAAGGUCGUAGGUUCGAUUCCCACCGUGGCCA